rnacentral:rRNA from 1 species
CCUACGGGCGGCUGCAGUGGGGAAUAUUGCACAAUGGGCGCAAGCCUGAUGCAGCCAUGCCGCGUGUGUGAAGAAGGCCUUCGGGUUGUAAAGCACUUUCAGCGGGGAGGAAGGCGGUGAGGUUAAUAACCUUGGCGAUUGACGUUACCCGCAGAAGAAGCACCGGCUAACUCCGUGCCAGCAGCCGCGGUAAUACGGAGGGUGCAAGCGUUAAUCGGAAUUACUGGGCGUAAAGCGCACGCAGGCGGUCUGUCAAGUCGGAUGUGAAAUCCCCGGGCUCAACCUGGGAACUGCAUUCGAAACUGGCAGGCUAGAGUCUUGUAGAGGGGGGUAGAAUUCCAGGUGUAGCGGUGAAAUGCGUAGAGAUCUGGAGGAAUACCGGUGGCGAAGGCGGCCCCCUGGACAAAGACUGACGCUCAGGUGCGAAAGCGUGGGGAGCAAACAGGAUUAGAUACCCUUGUAGUC